UGGGGAAUUUUGCGCAAUGGGCGAAAGCCUGACGCAGCAACGCCGCGUGGGUGAUGAAGGUCUUCGGAUCGUAAAACCCUGUCGUCGGGGACGAAGGUAAUUCGGUUAACAACUGAGUUGCUUGACGGUACCCGGAGAGGAAGCCCCGGCUAACUCUGUGCCAGCAGCCGCGGUAAUACAGAGGGGGCAAGCGUUAUUCGGAAUUAUUGGGCGUAAAGGGCGCGUAGGCGGUUUUUUAAGUCAGAUGUGUAAUCCCCGAGCUCAACUUGGGAACUGCAUCUGAGACUGGAAGGCUAGAGUACUGGAGAGGGUGGUAGAAUUCCACGUGUAGCGGUGAAAUGCGUAGAGAUGUGGAGGAAUACCAGUGGCGAAGGCGGCCACCUGGACAGUAACUGACGCUGAGGCGCGAAAGUGUGGGUAGCAAACA
rnacentral:rRNA from 1 species